GCAUUUGUUAGAAGUACAAAUUCUCAGUCAGUGGUGUUGAUGCUGCUGAUCCAGGAAACACACUUUGAGAAUGACUGUUUUAAUGAGAGUAUUUACUAUUAGAAAGAAUUAACAAAGAAGCAAGCAAAAGAAAGGCUACCUGAAGUCACCGAAUAAGCAUAAUCACAAUUUCGGUGUGAUUUAGAGGCUUCAGAAUUACAAAAAUACUGUUACUGGUGAUUAAGUUAAAUACAAAAUAGAACUUCAAUUAAUCCGAGCAACUGAUUACUUCUAUCUGCUAUUCAUCCUGACGGAUACCUUGAAUCCUCUACUCCAGUGGUCCCCAAAGCUUUUGGCACCAGUGACUGAUAUGGUUUGGCUGUGUCCCCACCCAAAUCUCAACUUUAAUUGUAUCUCCCAGACUUCCCACAUGUUGUGGGAGGGACCUAGGGGCAGGCAGGUAAUUGAAUCACGAGGGCCGGUCUUUCCUGUGUUAUUCUCGUGAUAGUGAAUAAGUCUCAUGAGAUCUGAUGGGUUUAUCAGGGGUUUCCACUUCUGCUGCUUCUUCAUUUUCUCUUGCUACCACCAUAUAAGAAGCGCCUUUCACUCCUGCCAUGAUUCUGAGGCCUCCCCAGCCAUGUGGAACUGUAAGUCCAAUUAAACCUUUUAUUCCUUCCCAGGCUUCGGUAUGUCUUUAUCAGCAGUGUGAAAACAAACUAAUACAGUCACAGAUCAUCAGGCAUUAGAUUAUCAUAAGGAGUACUUAACCUUGAUCCCUCACAUGCACAGUUCACAGUAGGGUUUGUACUCCUAGAAGAAUCCAAUGCCACCACUGAUCUGACAGGAAACAGAGCUCAGGCAGUAAUGCGAGCAAUGAGGAGCAGCUGUAAAUGCAGAUGAAGCUUUGUUUACUUGCCCACUGCUUACCUCCUGCUGUCUGGUUCCUGACAGGCCACAGACCGGUACCAGUCCAUGGCCCAGGGGUGGGGACCCCUGCUCUAUUCUACAUAUUCCUUACCAAUGGAAUUUUUUAAAAAAUCUCAAUACUAUGCUUUCC
rnacentral:lncRNA from 10 species